GCAGUCAUCAACUCCCAAGUAGUCCAAAUUUUAGCAGCCAUAACCUGGGUGUUGAUGUCACUGGAGUUUAGCCUCUUGCAAUAUGCCUCAAUAAAAUUUCCCCUUUCCUUUUCUGGAAUGAAAUCUCUAAAAGGCUCCCAUGCAUCUGGGAAGAUAGCUGCGGCACCACCCUCAUAAAACCAAUCCAACUCCUUCUUUCUUAGCAGAAAAAUGCCUCUAAGAACAAUUCCA
rnacentral:misc_RNA from 1 species